GAUAAACGCUGGCGGCGUGCCUAACACAUGCAAGUCGAACGCGCUUCUUUCGGGAAGCGAGUGGCGGACGGGUGAGUAACACGUGGGUACCUGCCUUGAGGUGAGGAAUACCACCGAGAAAUCGGUGACAAGACCGCAUACGCUCUCUCAGCCGAGAGAGCAAAGUCGCUUCGGUGACGCCGCAAGAUGGGCCUGCGCCUGAUUAGCUAGUUGGUGGGGUAAAAGCCUACCAAGGCCACGAUCAGUAGCUGGUCUGAGAGGAUGAUCAGCCACACUG
rnacentral:rRNA from 1 species